rnacentral:rRNA from 1 species
CACGUAGGGUGCGAGCGUUGUCCGGAAUUAUUGGGCGUAAAGAGCUCGUAGGCGGUUUGUUGCGUCUAUCGUGAAAACCUGCAGCUUAACUGUGGGCUUGCGGUGGAUACGGGCAGACUUGAGUUCGGUAGGGGAGACUGGAAUUCCUGGUGUAGCGGUGAAAUGCGCAGAUAUCAGGAGGAACACCAGUGGCGAAGGCGGCUACCUGGACCAGCACUGACACUGAGGCACGAAAGCGUGGGGAGCGAACAGG